GAAAGUUUAUUUAUUAUUGUUAAUAUUAAUUUUUUAUUUAUUAAUAAAAUUAAUUUUUGGUUUUAUUAUUGUGAUAGAAUAAAUUUUUAUAAUUAUAGUUUAUUAUUUUGUAUAAUAAUUAAUUUUUUUAAUAAAAGAAUAAUUAAUUUUUUGUACCUUGUGUAUCAGGGUUUAAUAAAUUAAUUAAUUUAUUUUAUUUUCCCGAAUUGAGAAGAGUUAUUAUUAUAUAUUUUUUAUUGUAGAAUAAAUAUUUUUAAUAUGAUAAUUGAAAUGAAAUGUUAUUCGUUUCUUAAUAUAUCUGGUUUCUUAAGAAAUAAAUUUAAUUUAUUUGUUUUUAAUAAUUUUUUAAUUUUUAAUUUUUUAUUAAAAAUGAAAAGUAUUUUAAGGGAUAAGCUUUAAGAUAAAAUCUUAUUAAUUUUUUAUUUAAUUUUUUAUUAAAGGAUAAAAUUUUCUUUUUUAUUUGUAUUUUUUAAUUAGGAUGAUUUAAAAUUUUAUUUUUAUGGAUUAUAAGUUUUUUAUUAAGAUUUAAUUAAUAAUUUUAUAUAUUUUGAGAUAAUGUUAAAAUUAGUAAAAUUUUUUGUGUUAAUAAUUUUUAAUUAAUAAUUUAAGAAAAAGGAAUUCGGCAAUUAAGUUUUCCACCUGUUUAUUAAAAACAUGUCCUAUAGUUUAUAUUUUAGGUCUAGCCUGCCCAUUGAUGAUUUUAACGGCCGCAGUAUAUUGACUGUGCUAAGGUAGCAUAAUCAUUAGUUUUUUAAUUGAAAACUGGAAUGAAAGGUUGAAUGAGAAAAAUUCUGUCUCUUUCUAAAAAAUUGAAUUUUACUUUUAAGUAAAAAGGCUUAAAUAAUAAUAAAAGACGAGAAGACCCUUUAGAGUUUUAUGUUUUAUUAUAAUUAAUUUUUUAGAAUAUAUUUUAGUUUAUUUUAAAAUAUUUGAUUGGGGUAGUUAUUAAAUUUGAUUAAUUUUGAUUGUUUAUUAACAAUAAUUGUUGGUUUAUUGAUCCUUAUUUUUGGAUUAUUAGAUAAAAUUACCUAAGGGAUAACAGCGUAAUUUUUUUAGAGAGUUCUUAUCGAUAAAAUAGAUUGCGACCUCGAUGUUGGAUUAAAAUUUGCAAUUAAGGUGAAGAAAUUAUUUUGCUUAGUCUGUUCGACUAUUAAAAUUUUACAUGAUCUGAGUUUAGACCGGCGUGAGCCAGGUUGGUUUUUAUCUUUAAUUUAAAUAAAAUUUUAGUACGAAAGGACCAAAUUUUUUUUAUAAUAAUUUAUUGUUGAAUAAUUUUAG
rnacentral:rRNA from 1 species